rnacentral:rRNA from 1 species
UACGAAGGGGGCUAGCGUUGCUCGGAAUCACUGGGCGUAAAGGGUGCGUAGGCGGGUCUUUAAGUCAGGGGUGAAAUCCUGGAGCUCAACUCCAGAACUGCCUUUGAUACUGAAGAUCUUGAGUUCGGGAGAGGUGAGUGGAACUGCGAGUGUAGAGGUGAAAUUCGUAGAUAUUGGGAAGAACACCGGUGGCGAAGGCGGCUCACUGGCCCGAAACUGACGCUCAUGCACGACAGCGUGGGGAUCAAACAGG